GAGGAAUCUUAGCCACUGGAUCACCAGGGAAGUCCUGAAGGAGAUGGGAUAGCCAGGCCAGGCCAGAUUGUUUUUGUCCUGUCUUACCUGCCCUGCGGGAGGCUUUUCGCCAAGGACUGAUCCCAUUCUGAUACUCUGUGA
rnacentral:lncRNA from 1 species